rnacentral:lncRNA from 1 species
AUUUUGUAAGUUAGACGUUGGAGUUUGUCAGCAUCGAGUCCUAAAUUGUCCGAAAUGACGCUGAAGGAAGUCGGUGAAACAGACCCCUGUCUCACAGGUUGAGGAACUAUGAAGAAGUCAUAUUUCUCGGGGUUGGUGAUUACGUCGUCCACGACUGUUCCCGGCGGUGACUGUAGAUUGAGAGUGAGAAUGACUCAAGGUUAUGCCAAAGCGUGACGUGGUCGGUGGACUUGUGCGUGUUUCGGUCAGGGUAUAUUUCGGUGGGGCAGACACCCAGCUUAUAUAGGAGAUGUCUCCACUGAAAUUAUGACUUGGUAACGUUACUGCGACGGAGUAUGUUUAGGAAAACUCGCUACUUCGCACGCUUACGAAUGUCUGACGUUUAGCAAACGAGUACAAACAAAAUAUAUUAUUAUUUUGAAA